rnacentral:rRNA from 1 species
GACGAACGCUGGCGGCGUGCUUAACACAUGCAAGUCGAACGAUGAAGCUGGAGCUUGCUCCGGUGGAUUAGUGGCGAACGGGUGGGUAACACGUGAGUAAUCUGCCCUUGACUCUGGGAUAACUGCGGGAAACUGUAGCUAAUACCGGAUACGACACCUUCGGGCAUCCGAUGGGUGUGGAAAGAAUUUCGGUCAAGGAUGAACUCGCGGCCUAUCAGCUAGUUGGUGAGGUAAUGGCUCACCAAGGCGACGACGGGUAGCCGGCCGGAGAGGGUGACCGGCCACACUGGGACUGAGACACGGCCCAGACUCCGACGGGAGGCAGCAGUGGGGAAUAUUGCACAAUGGGCGAAAGCCUGAUGCAGCAACGCCGCGUGAGGGAUGAAGGCCUUCGGGUUGUAAACCUCUUUUAGUUGGGAAGAAGCGAAAGUGACGGUACCAACAGAAAAGGCACCGGCUAACUACGUGCCAGCCGCCGCCGUAA